AUAAGAAUAAUGUUGAUGAGAGAAUAGAUUGAAUGAGAAAACUUGAAAUAAUGAGGAGUAAGAGAGAGACAGGGAGGGAUCUCAGCUUAUAUUUUAUCAGUGUGCUCUGUACUGCAUGGACAGUAUUACCUCAAUUUGUCUUCAUAACAUUGUGCAUUAAUUGAUACCAUGUACAUGUGUAUUUAUAGUCAUUUUCAGUUAAUUGAUACAUAUAGUGCAUUUUUUGGUUUUUUGCUUUUAGCUGCUUUAUUGUAGGUAACUGGUUAAUUUGCUAACUUGAUUUGUAUGCUUUAUUAAUCCAUGAAAACUGUACCUAAGCAGUAGCACAAUUUGCAAAGCAAAAGUGAUGAAAAAACAGGAAAAAUUUCCUAUCACCAUGUACAUAAGUACAAUGAUUUUUCUUUCCAUUUCUUCUUUCUUUACUUGCUUCUUUUCUUUCUUCCCUUUCUUCUUUCUAUUUUUCUUCCUCCUUUUCCCUCUUCCCCCUCAUUCUAUUCCUUUCCUUCUUUCCUUUCUCUAUGUAUCUCUCUGUCUCUCUUUCUAUUAUAGUCUCUCCUAUAUGUUAGGAAGGUUUGCGUCUUUUUAUCAUCUACUUUUUGAUGUCAUCCUCUUAAUUAAACGAAUGAGACCUGACAUCCUCCGGAAGGGAACAGUUUUGGUCCUCUAGUAUCUCUUAUACUGAAGAACCAGAGACCAUGCACAUGUCAUCACAUACUAACCUCUCCCUCGUCUCUCAAGAUCCCCUCGUCACCAUACAAGUAUGGAUGACCAGUGGGUGGAGUGAUGGGAGAUGUGGUCAGAAAGGAAGUUGUGGUGAUGAAAGCUAGGUGUAUGCUACCUCGAAAGAAUAUUAAUGUGUCUUUUAAUAAAUACUGUAUAGUUGAAAUUUAUGUGUGUGACCUUAUAUUUUUGUAAACAGCCAAAGCCACUUUCAUUGUUAACGUGUUUACCCUAUA